rnacentral:rRNA from 1 species
GACGAACGCUGGCGGCGUGCCUAAUACAUGCAAGUUGAGCGAUGAAGAUUGGUGCUUGCCCCAAUUUGAAGAGCAGCGAACGGGUGAGUAACGCGUGGGGAAUCUGCCUUUGAGCGGGGGACAACAUUUGGAAACGAAUGCUAAUACCGCAUAACAACUUUAAACAUAAGUUUUAAGUUUGAAAGAUGCAAUUGCAUCACUCAAAGAUGAUCCCGCGUUGUAUUAGCUAGUUGGUGAGGUAAAGGCUCACCAAGGCGAUGAUACAUAGCCGACCUGAGAGGGUGAUCGGCCACAGUGGGACUGAGACACGGCCCAAACUCCUACGGGAGGCAGCAGUAGGGAAUCUUCGGCAAUGGACGAAAGUCUGACCGAGCAACGCCGCGUGAGGGAAGAAGGUUUUCGGAUCGUAAAACUCUGUUGGUAGAGAAGAACGUUGGUGAGAGUGGAAAGCUCAUCAAGUGACGGUAACUACCCAGAAAGGGACGGCUAACUACGUG